rnacentral:rRNA from 1 species
UACGGAGGGGGCUAGCGUUGUUCGGAAUUACUGGGCGUAAAGCGCACGUAGGCGGCUUUGUAAGUUAGAGGUGAAAGCCCGGAGCUCAACUCCGGAACUGCCUUUAAGACUGCAUCGCUUGAACGUCGGAGAGGUAAGUGGAAUUCCGAGUGUAGAGGUGAAAUUCGUAGAUAUUCGGAAGAACACCAGUGGCGAAGGCGACUCUCUGGGACGGUACUGACGCUGAGACGCGAAAGCGUGGGGAGCGAACAGG